CAGACGUGAAGUCAGAGGCUGCUCACAGUCAGUGUCAGUGUUUUUCCUCUCAGACUGAAGAUGAGUGGUUAUGAGGAGGAAGAGGAGGACAGAGCAGAGUCUCCAGGGUUCAGCUGUGUGUCUCUGAAGAGUGACCGGUCCAUGGGACCUCCUCCAAACUUCAGUACUGAACCUGGACCCUCACACACAGAAGAGAGGAAGAGGAGUCAUGUUUCUGAGGAGGAGCAGUCGUCCUGCUGUGCUUCGU